rnacentral:rRNA from 1 species
CUUGGUCAUUUAGAGGAAGUAAAAGUCGUAACAAGGUCUCCGUUGGUGAACCAGCGGAGGGAUCAUUACAAGAAGCCGAAAGGCUACUUCAAACCAUUGCGAACUCGUCCAAGUUGCUUCGGCGGCGCGGCUCCCCCUAACGGGGGCGCAGCAGCCCUGCCUCUCCGGAGGUUCGGGGCGCCCGCCGGAGGUACGAAACUCUGUAUUAUAGUGGCAUCUCUGAGUAAAAAGCAAAUAAGUUAAAACUUUCAACAACGGAUCUCUUGGUUCUGGCAUCGAUGAAGAACGCAGCGAAAUGCGAUAAGUAAUGUGAAUUGCAGAAUUCAGUGAAUCAUCGAAUCUUUGAACGCACAUUGCGCCCGGUAGUACUCUACCGGGCAUGCCUGUUCGAGCGUCAUUUCAACCCUCAAGCUCUGCUUGGUGUUGGGGCCCUACGGCUGCCGUAGGCCCUGAAAGGAAGUGGCGGGCUCGCUACAACUCCGAGCGUAGUAAUUCAUUAUCUCGCUAGGGAGGUUGCGGCGUGCUCCUGCCGUUAAAGACCCAUCUUUAACCAAGGUUGACCUCGGAUCAGGUAGGAAUACCCGCUGAACUUAAGCAUAUCAAUAAGCGGAGGA